ACAAUCGUCCUUGAUGCGCCCUGGCACCCCCUAACCCAACCCUGACCCCAUCUCCUGCCCCACCCCCACCCUCCUCCAAUACGCCCCGCCCCCCCUGCACCAGCCCCACCCACCUCCGCUCCACCGACUCAGGGCUGUGGCCCCAAGCCACGCCCCUUCUCGAACAUCACAAAGCAGCGGCCAAUGGGAGAGGAGGCGGGAGAAAUGGCGGGAAAUGUGCCCCUCCCCCUGGGGUGUGUCUGUGUGGGGGAGGGGCUGCCCUGUGGGAUGGGGAUGGGGAUGGGAAUGGGGACAGAAAAGCCGAUGGGACCGAGCAGAGAAAAGGAGGUGUUGCGGCCUUUUCGCAGACCCCCCAAAUUUCCCAGGAAGGAGCUGGAAAGCUGCUUCCUUUGGGCAGCAGCAGCGGGUCGCAGACGCUCCCACCUUGCCGUCCCGGUGGCUUCUCCCCUCCUGCUCGCAACCGAGCGUCGUCCCUGCGGUGGCGGCAGCGGCGGAUGCUUGUGCGGCGAGAGAAAACACGCGCCCUCCAGGUAGGUCGAAGCCUCUUCAAUGCAACCUGCUUCUCCUUGUUAUUGUGGUCACGUUUUCCCUCUCCUGGCGUGCUCAGACCGCUUUUUGCCUCUCUUCUCCAGCAUCAGGUUUGGCAUCAGGUUCCCUUUUUGCGCUCCUGCCCAUCACCUGGGUUGCUGGUCCUGCUAGCAGCUCCCAGGCCCUUUCCUCCUCCCUCCUACAUGCAGCCAGGCCGGCUCCUCCUCCUUGUUUACAGCUGCUAGACAGGCCUCCAGGCUUUAGCAGAAGCGGAGGGAAGCCAGGGCCGUGCGACGUGCCAGCUCUGCACAGACUAGCAGCGCUGGCGUGCUCCAUUUUCUUUAACUUCUUCGGUUUCAGCUUCUCACUUCACAUUCAACGCCGCGCUGCGAAGCCUAGAGGUGUGCAGGAGGCAAGCGGGUUUAGUUCUGAUUGUGAAACCACCUCCUGCGUGUACCGUAGGUAGUUUUCGCCGGCUCUUCGGUCUCCCCAGUGAUGCGUGCUGUUAUUAAGGAUGAAUCUGGAGGUAUCCCUGGUUGUUAGGGACCCCCCCACAGCAGGACGCACGGCAAUAGCCGAAGGAAGCUCCCUCACGUGCUGCUUCAGCGGAGACUGGAUGCCGGAAGGUGCUGAAAAAAGGUUGAGCGUAAUAAUAAACAGCCAAAUUCAUUGAAUGAAGACAUUUCCGUGAGCGGUAACCCAAGGAACAUUUCACAGACAUUCAGGCUGGAAGGGACCCCGGAGGAUCAUCGAGUCCAGCCCCCAGCUAGGUCACGAGUCAAACGCCCAGCUGUCAAGCAUCCCCUGCCAUCCAAAUACUGAUUUUUGAGUGUGCAUAUUGAAAUCCCAUCGAGGGAAAAACUGCCACAGAAGGCAGGGCAGAGUUGCACCUUGCAGAAUAACUGAAUCGCAGAUGCGUAAACUUGCACGAGGAACAGCUCACUUCAUCCGAUUUUCCAUGGAAGGGUUUGUCGGAUGCAUCGGUCGCUCGGCUCGCGUCGCCCGUCCGAGCCGGACGCAGAACGCCAAGUAGCGAACCACAUUUUCUAAUGAGAUGAUGGCAGGGAGGAAGAGGUUGCCUGUCCUGAAGGGGGAGUAGCUGCCACAGAGUAAAGCCAGAAGCCUGCAAAUAAGAGAAUCCUCACCUCAGACUAAUGAAAUAUUUAUUCAGCGCCUGGGAACCAUAUGCUCUCACAACUUCAUCCUCUGAAAGUCGAGGAAUUUGGUAGCACAGAUACCGAGAGGAGCUCUCCUUGUUGUUAUGACUUCCUAGAAAGUACUCCGUGGAGUAGCUGAACACCUGCUGCCGCGCUGCCACAUGGUGUGAUUUCAGCUGUUCUUCCCAGCUCGCCAUUGGGAACCUUUCCACCAGGAUAAGCGUGGGUGCGACAGGAAAUGGAGAUGGUGAUUAUUCAGUAGGUGUCAUUCAUCCGUCUGAGUCUUCUGGCACCUGUUGGUGAACCUUGCAAGCCCUUUCCAAGCACCCAUUUUCCACCUUGACUGAGGAGCACAACUCUCACUGCGUUCCAUCCAAAAUUGAAUGAAAACCAAGAGCUGACAUUUUCCGAGGAGUGCCUUGAGUUUAGCGAGGUUUGCUUCGAGUCUAAAAAAGGCUGAGACUCUCUGGUCUACAAAGAUGAAUGCAGUGAAAGGAUCGGCAGUGAACUCCCCACACAGUGUCUUCAUUUCACGCUGUCCUCCCUUUCAGCCAUCGCCCAAGAGCUCUGCUCGGCGUCCAGAUGUGUUGCAAAAAGGAAACAAAGACUUCACUUUUCGAGGGCCCCUCUAUCGAUGCGUCUGGCUGUUACGCAGCUGCGUUUGCGAACAGACCACACAUGCUAUAUUCUGUAUAGCGCUGUCAUGCCUGAUACAAAACCAGUGCUUGAUCCCACCGCUGAAGUAGCCCUUUUAAACAGUGGCAUUCUGGGUAUGCUGAAGUAUGUAUUAUAUACAUGCAAACCAGCUUUACGGCUGUGUAGGCCCAUCACAUGUUGUGAUCUAAUUUCUCUCAAUGUUGUGUAACUGCUAGAGGGAAAGUAGGUCAAAAUAACAGUGAACCUCCGCUGGAGAAAGGCAGCUCUUCCCAGCGUGAGUGUUACCCGGAUUAAUGAGAGGUUCACGCUGCAUAGAAAAUCAAACCCAUCCAUUUUUCCCUUGCUGAAGAGGAGCCAACUUUGGGUGCUGUCGUGUUCUUUGAGAAAAGCAUCAGGGCAGAGCAGAUUUCCUGGGUGGGGACCAGAGAGA